rnacentral:rRNA from 1 species
UACGAAGGGGGCUAGCGUUGUUCGGAUUUACUGGGCGUAAAGCGCACGUAGGCGGAUUGUUAAGUCGGGGGUGAAAUCCUGGAGCUCAACUCCAGAAUUGCCUUCGAUACUGGCUUUCUAGAGGCUGGAAGAGGUUAGUGGAAUUCCCCAGUGUAGAGGUGAAAUUCGUAGAUAUUGGGAAGAACACCAGUGGCGAAGGCGGCUAACCUGGUCCAGAUCUGACGCUGAGGUGCGAAAGCGUGGGGAGCGAACAGG